GAUGCCGAAGUUAUGGAUGCAUCCUUCGGGAUGCGUGGUAGGAGAGCGUUCUAAGGGCGGUGAAGGCAAAUCGUGAGGAUUGCUGGAGCGCUUAGAAGUGAGAAUGCCGGUAUGAGUAGCGAGACACGGGUGAGAAUCCCGUGCACCGAAUGACUAAGGUUUCCAGGGGAAGGCUCGUCCGCCCUGGGUUAGUCGGGACCUAAGGAGAGACCGAAAGGUGUAUCCGAUGGACAACAGGUUGAUAUUCCUGUACUAGAGUAUGUAGUGAUGGAGGGACGCAGUAGGCUAACUAAAGCAGACGAUUGGAAGUGUCUGUCUAAGCAGUGAGGU
rnacentral:rRNA from 1 species